rnacentral:rRNA from 1 species
UACGUAUGGAGCAAGCGUUAUCCGGAUUUACUGGGUGUAAAGGGCGUGUAGGCGGGCCUGCAAGUCAGAAGUGAAAUCUGGGGGCUUAACCCCCAAACUGCUUUUGAAACUGUGGAUCUUGAGUGAUGGAGAGGCAGGCGGAAUUCCCAGUGUAGCGGUGAAAUGCGUAGAUAUUGGGAGGAACACCAGUGGCGAAGGCGGCCUGCUGGACAUUAACUGACGCUGAGGCGCGAAAGCGUGGGGAGCAAACAGG